rnacentral:rRNA from 1 species
GUGCACGUCUUGACGGUACCUAAUCAGAAAGCCACGGCUAACUACGUGCCAGCAGCCGCGGUAAUACGUAGGUGGCAAGCGUUAUCCGGAAUUAUUGGGCGUAAAGCGCGCGUAGGCGGUUUUUUAAGUCUGAUGUGAAAGCCCACGGCUCAACCGUGGAGGGUCAUUGGAAACUGGAAAACUUGAGUGCAGAAGAGGAAAGUGGAAUUCCAUGUGUAGCGGUGAAAUGCGCAAAGAUAUGGAGGAACACCAGUGGCGAAGGCGACUUUCUGGUCUGUAACUGACGCUGAUGUGCGAAAGCGUGGGGAUCAAACAGGAUUAGAUACCCUGGUAGUCCACGCCGUAAACGAUGAGUGCUAAGUGUUAGGGGGUUUCCGCCCCUUAUUGCUGCAGC